AGUAAGCCAGCUGGAACCAUGUGAUUGAGGACAAGUAAAACAGCUGCUGGCCCAUUUUUCCAAUAUAUUUACAGUAGCACAAUGUCACAUCCACAGAUGGUCUCAUCUCUCUUCAGUCAUUCUGCAGGUAUCAAGCUGGAACCAUGUCCUUCAUUCAAGACAGGUGAAGCCACCACAUCAAACUGCUGCUUAUGGAGCAUCACAGGCCAGCUGAACAUGCGUGGAAGAGAGCUCUAAAUGCCCUCUUCAGCAGAUAUGAGCCUGCAGACAUCUGUGAUUAUUCUUCUGGUUGGGACUGGAGAAAGAACAGACUACUUCAGAUGUAUGCAUCAUCCUGCAGGCUUUACCCCUACGUGCAACAGAAUGGAUUGACCAUCUUGCGUGUUUGAUAAAUUGCAACUGUGAAUCCCAGCACUCUUUCCACACACACUCCCGGGAGCUUUGGCAUGACUGUGUGCUAUAGCAGCAAGCCGCCUCCUCUCAUCCAUCCAUAUUACAGCAAGAUGCACUUAAAGCCGUGGGACCUGCUGUCUUGGACUGGACUAAAUCAACAUAUUAUGUGUGCAUCAGGAGAGCCAGGGAAGGAAUAGUUAUGAGACAUGCAUUCUUUAUAGAGGAACCUUCAUAUGUACAAAAUGAUUUGAUUGCAUGAACAUGACCCAAUGUAAAGUUAUUAGGACACAUGGACAUGUAUGUAUUAAAUGUAUUAGAGUUGUAUUAAGUAAGUUGUCUAUACAGGUUCACUGCUUUGACUAUAAUGUGUAAUCUUUCUAUAUUUAUGGGUGUAGAUGUCUCACAGCACUAAUAAAAACUGUUAGCGGUGCUUCUGAGCAUGUAAAAAAAAAGUGGUGAAGCAAGCAAAAAUGCUAACUCACUAUGGUUUAACUAGAACACUUUAGACAAAAGGCGGCAUUUUAAAUACAUCUCUGUGCUUUCUCUUUGCUACUGGAUCAUCAUUAUGCAUAAACAGCAUUAUACUGCACCAGGGGUGGCACUAGAUCAUUAUUUUCUACAAAGUAGGCUAAAUGUUCAGUUGGAAGCACUUUUAAUAAAAACAGACGGUGAACAAAAUAAUAUGCAAAUACAUGGUUGGAAAAUAUAUCAACAGGGAAAAUUAAUACUUUUUAAAAAUGUAUUGAAAUCAGCUGCUGAAAUUGUUUUUAAUAUUAAAAUAGAACUACCUGACAUAUAGAUGUCUUUGCAAUGAGAGCAGCUCUAAUUUUUGUUGUUGUUUUUUUUUUUUCAUAUAAAGCUGUAUACUGUACCAAGGGUGUUGCUAACCCCUUAAAUAAAAUUCUCCUGCUAGAUCAUUGUCUGUUGAGGUAGAUUACACUAGAUACGUCUGAAAACCAGCUUUCCUAUUCAUUGAGCAUUAUCAUUUACAGCAUUUGAAUUAUUUUAAAAUGAUUAAUGAGGCUGAUUGUAAAGCCAGCUGAAGCACAAAUAUCCCGUGUAGCCUCUUCAAUCAUAUCCCCAUCCCACCCUGCUAUGCUCCUCCUCCCUCCACUUUUCACUGCAGAAACAUUAACGAAAAUUC